rnacentral:rRNA from 1 species
GACGAACGCUGGCGGCGUGCCUAAUACAUGCAAGUCGAACGCAGUGGGGACGGGUGAGUAACACGUGGGUAACCUCCCAUCAGAGGGGAUAAAACUUGGAAACAGGUGCUAAACCGAUACUGAUGGAUGCACCCGCGUUGCAUUAGCUAGUUGGUGAGGUAAAGGCUCACCAAGGCCACGAUGCAUAGCCGACUUGAGAGGACGAACGGCCACACUGGGACGGAGACACGGCCCAGACUCCUACGGGAGGCAGCAGUAGGGAAUUUUCGGCAAUGGACGAAAGCCUGAACGAGCAAUGCCGCGUGAGUGAAGAAGGCUUUCGGGUCGUAAAGUUCUGUUGUUAGAGAAGCGGUAUCUAACCAGAAAGCCACGGCUAACUACGUGCCAGCAGCCGCGGUAAUAC